AUUGAACGCUGGCGGCAGGCCUAACACAUGCAAGUCGAGCGGAUGAGUGGAGCUUGCUCCAUGAUUCAGCGGCGGACGGGUGAGUAAUGCCUAGGAAUCUGCCUGGUAGUGGGGGACAACGUUUCGAAAGGAACGCUAAUACCGCAUACGUCCUACGGGAGAAAGUGGGGGAUCUUCGGACCUCACGCUAUCAGAUGAGCCUAGGUCGGAUUAGCUAGUUGGUGAGGUAAAGGCUCACCAAGGCGACGAUCCGUAACUGGUCUGAGAGGAUGAUCAGUCACACUGGAACUGAGACACGGUCCAGACUCCUACGGGAGGCAGCAGUGGGGAAUAUUGGACAAUGGGCGAAAGCCUGAUCCAGCCAUGCCGCGUGUGUGAAGAAGGUCUGAGGGUUAUAAACUGCUUUUGUACGGAACGAAAAGGCGCCUUCUAAUACAGGGCGCUCAUGACGGUACCGUAAGAAUAAGCACCGGCUAACUACGUGCC
rnacentral:rRNA from 1 species